GGGGCCCUUAGAGGCAUUGCAGGUGUAGAUGCUAUGUCAAAUAUAAAUCAGUAGGUGGCAGACAGGAGAGAGACUAUGCCUACACUCAGUGUUCUGAUCUAGGAACAUCUGAAUGAUAGUAGCCUAACACU